rnacentral:rRNA from 1 species
UACAGAGGUCUCAAGCGUUUGUCCGGAAUUACUGGGCGUAAAGAGCUCGUAGGUGGUUUGUCGCGUUGUCCGUGAAAACUCACAGCUUAACUGUGGGCGUGCGGGCGAUACGGGCAGACGUGGAGUACUGCAGGGGAGACUGGAAUUCCUGGUGUAGCGGUGGAAGUGCGCAGAUAUCAGGAGGAACACCGGUGGCGAAGGCGGGUCUCUGGGCAGUAACUGACGCUGGAGGAGCGAAAGCGUGGGGAGCGAACAGG